UUAUAAAAAUCUAACUCUUUACUUUUAUGAUCUGCAAUAUCGUUUCAGAUUCUGAACACAUCAGAAAUCACCAACCCCUCCUGACAUAUCUUUCCAGUUUGGGCAAAAAAAUGAAUGUAUAUGCCCAAGUAGAAUUCAUCAACUUCAGCCGUGAUCUCUGUGAUCAGCUCAUCAUCUCUCCAUACCCUCUCCACAUGGAAGUCACCUCUUGUAUUUGUCACAAGAUCACACCAGGUUAACUAAGCCAGUAACCAUCAGCUGACCGUGGAAUGCCAAUUGUGUCUUUCUUUCUCAGUUUUGCAUGGUCCCCAAUAAACUCAACGUGAGAUGCCUCUCCGAUUUCUUUCACAUCAGGGCACUUAACCUCUACCAGGCCACAGGGAGGUUCUUCAUUUGGGUCCAGUACUUUGCCAUCUGCACCAAGGUGUGGAGCAUCAGGGUGGAUGAUGAGACCAGAUGGAAGACAUUAACGUCAAAGGUCUCCUCAUAGCGGUGAAGAACCUCUGGCUCAAGUUUUAAUCCUCUACACAUCGCUCUCUAGAGACCCCGACAGAUGUUUACACACACUGUUUAAUGCAAGAUAUAAAUGCAUUUAUCCUGCAAUUACAAAUACAUAAUGUUUUGAUGUUUUAAUCCCAAAAUGUUGAAUACUGAUAUUUGCAAUGAUAAAAGAAAGUGCUUUAAGAGGUGAAAUUAAAAAAACACCAAUAUCUAGACAA